rnacentral:lncRNA from 1 species
CUCUGCGUCCCACGCGGGAGCCGGGAGGGCUGCGGGAAGGAACCGCGCUGGAAAGUGCGAAACCUCGCGAGGGAAAGCUGCGUGGGGAACGGGGUCGGCCCUCGCCGGGGCUCCAGUCCGGACCGAGACUCUGUUGCAGCGCCUCCCACGCACCACAGAACUGAGUUGGGGAAAGUAAAAAGGAUACGUGUGUACCCAGGGAGAAGCCAGGGAAACUUACAUGAACGUUUUUAAAGUCUCUUUUAAAUUUGACAGAACAAACGUGAAGAUGCACCUGGCAGAACAGGCUUUCAAUGGAGGAUGGCAGAAGCAGACAAGAAGAGGCGAAUCUUUCGUAUACCAUAAGAGAGUGCCUCUGCAUGCACAGAAUCACCUGGGGAGCUUGCUGAGAUGCAGAUUCUGACUCGGGGGUCUAGGUGGAGCCUGAGUCUGCACCAUUUCACACUCCUAGGGGAUGCCGCUGCUGCCAGCAGAGAGCCCACACUUCAGGACACAGGAUCCAGCUUUGACACUGAGUUCCUAACUGCAGAAGCACCACCACCCCACAGCCAAGUGUGUGGCUCGGAAGCAAGAUGCUCUGGGUUUCCAUCACCUCUGCCACCUUACUUCACUUCUCAGGCCUCCUCCCACAUCUCAUACGGAAAACUAGGUAAAAUCAUGCUCACCACCCAAAACUAUAAGGAUUUGUUUUCAUGGAAAUAAUUUGAAUAGUGCCUAGCACACAAGUAUUCAACAAGUGUCAGCAGGAGUCCAAUUGCUUGAUACAAUUAUUUCCCAGCCUCAAGGAAAACUUAACUUAAUUGGAGAAGUAGGACCAUAUUUUGUGCUUCGCUUUUCCCCACAACACAAGGCCCAAGGCUGCUCACAUUAAAACGCUCAACAAUUGGGAAGUAAGAGUAACUAAGGACAGGACAGAGGGGGUGUCUAUAAGGCAAAGGCUUGAGGGUAAGAAAAAACUGCAGAAGAAACAGGAAAGAAACUGCAAAGGUUUUCCUGACGAAGCUACCUACCCACCUCACACAGCGCCAGCCCUACAAGGAUUCCCUCCAUGUUGUUUCUGUAACAAGACAAUCCCAUACCUUAUAGCAGGAGGCCUCAACCCCUGGACUGUGGAUCAGUACUGGUCCAUGGCCUGUUAGGAAUCAGGCCACACAGCAGGUUAGCUCUGCCUCCUGUCAGAUCAGCGGCGGCAUUAGAUUCUCAUAGAAUGAACCCUAUUGUGAACUGCGCUCGCGAGGGAUCUAGGUUGUGCGCUCCUUAUGAGAAUCUAACGCCUGAUGAUCUGAGGUGGAACAGUUUCAUUCCAAAACCAUCCCGUCCCCCACCACUGUCUGUGGAAAACCUGUCUUCCACGAAACCAGUCCUGGUGCCAAAAAGGUUGGGGACCCCUGCCUUACAGCAAGCCAAGUUUCCUUCUACUUAUUUGCUCGCUCUCCCCGUGGAAAACUGUAAUGUCUUUUAACGGGUCUCCUUUGGUCCCAAGUGUUCUUACAAAAUGUUUUGUGUACAUGCAUUUUUAAUUUAUAUAAAUGGUGUUACAUUAUAGAUCUCAAUUUCUUACCUUUUCCCCUCGGCAUUGUGUUUAAGAUGGAUCCAGAUGGCUACGCAUAUAUCUAAGCCAAUGCUCGUAACAGCUACCUGGCACUCCCUGGGGUACCCACAUUUCACCUACUCUUUCUACCUCCCAAUAGCCAUCACCCAGACUGUCUCCAGCUCUCCACCAUCAUAAGUACAGUCCCCUGAAAAUUUUCACCCAUGCCACAUCUUGUCUUCUGUCCUAGGUUUAAGUAAAAGUGCAGGUUAGGCUGUGCCAUCAGUCCUUCCCUGUCAUCACUCCAGGUCAGGUGCCUCUCCUCCACCUUGGCCCCAGGAGAGUGUUCUUGACAAACGGAGAAAAACAUCCAGUAUGAACUUUUUUUUUUUCUUUUGCUAGUAGCAAGUUUUAUUCUAAGCAACCGCAAAUCAUCCAAGGGGAUGUUCACAUAUGACCCCAGAGCCCACUCCCAUCCCCCCAGACAGCAGCGGGGCACACAUUCAACACUCCUGAGACAAGCCAUCUGUGUGCUUUUUCUGUACCCUCUCUGGAAUAGGCAAUCCCAGAAUGCAUUUGGAAACUGUAAUCCGAACCACCUCAAGUAAGGAUUGGUGUAAUAGGAACAAACUCAAAUAACCACUGGUACAAGGUGAACAACCUUAAGUAACAAAGUAGUUUUCUACUCUGGGAGGCUGCAGAACAUAGCCAGGAGGAGGUGGGAAGAGGAGAGGGGUAUGCCGAGACACCGCAAGUCCCAGACCACAGCCAUACCAUCAGCAACUUCACUGGAAUCUUUCUUCUCAACAGGGCUGCAGGGUCUACCCCUCCGACUCUUUUCCUCUUGGUCCUUUUGAGACAAUUUGAGAGCACCAGGCACUGCACGAGGGAACCUAGCACCGUGUCCCCUGCUCUCCGGCCUAAGUAAGCAUCAGUGGGCUAAAAGAGCCCCAUUAACAACUCCCUCCUAGAGGGUAGGUCCAGUCCCCAAGUUAGGAACAACUUCUACAACUCUUAAAAUGUAAAAAACAAGUGUUGG